rnacentral:rRNA from 1 species
UAGUCCACGCCGUAAACGAUGUGUGCUAGAUGUCGGGGCCUUAGGCUUCGGUGUCGCAGCUAACGCACUAAGCACACCGCCUGGGGAGUACGGUCGCAAGAUUAAAACUCAAAGGAAUUGACGGGGACCCGCACAAGCGGUGGAGCAUGUUGUUUAAUUCGAAGCAACGCGAAGAACCUUACCCACACUUGACAUACUCGUCGGGGAUUAUAGAGAUAUUUUCCUUCGGUUCGGCCGGACGAUGUACAGGUGCUGCACGGCUGUCGUCAGCUCGUGUCGUGAGAUGUUUGGUUAAGUCCAGCAACGAGCGCAACCCCUAUCGUAUGUUACCAGCCUUUAGUUGGGGACUCAUGCGAGACUGCCGGUGUUAAGCCGGAGGAAGGUGGGGACGACGUCAAGUCAUCAUGGCCCUUACGUGUGGGGCUACAAACGUGCUACAAUGGCCGGUAUAAUGCGAAGCGAAGCCGCGAGGUGGAGCAAAUCGAAAAAGCCGGUCUCAGUUCGGAUUGGGGG